GGGAGGUCCCAGCCGGUGUGCACUGGAGAACGCCGGCUCCCCCUCCCCUGCUUUGGGGUCCUUGCCCCUCCAUGGGUCUCCAGACUCGGCUCUGUCCCUGGGGCUCCCCGUUCUCCCUCCUGCAGGCCGUGCGCUUAUCUCCGAGACUGUGGAUCCCGGUCUCCCGCGCUGUGUCCCCCCCAUCCUUGCUGCGCGGCUGCCUCCUGUCUCUCCCUCCCCCUCCCCUUCUCCUCGGCUCUGUCCUUGUCCUAGCUUGCCCUGGGAGGACGGACAAGCAGGGGCUGGGCCCGAGCGCCACCCCCGGCCCCCCGGGGAUGGGGCCAUCUUUCCGAGGAGCCUGAUGGGGCUUCUCUGCCAGGAAAGGGGGGGCUAAGGGGAGGAUCGGCAGGGGGCAGGGGCCGCUCCCUCCCUUCUUCCCUCCGCACACCCGCUGACGCUUUGGGCUAAAAACACCCGAGGGGGCCGCCGGGGGAGUAUCGCCUUCCCCGGCCCGAGGCUAAAGGGGCUGAGCGGGCGCGGCCGCAGGCAGACGCCAGAGACACCAUGAUCUUCCCAGAGGCCGCGCAGUUUGUGGUCAAUUAUUUGCUGAACCGGUGGAAGCACCGCUGGCAGAGUCUCAAUCACGAAUUUCUGGGCAGAAGGAUGAGACGCCUGAUGCCCCUGUACCUGUGACGCCCGAGGGCAGGAUUAAGGUGACCUUCACAUGGUUAGCCAGUUAAUCUUCUUGGUAUACUUCCUGACCCUACUCAAAAAUCUCAAAGAGACCCUUGCUUGGGCCAGGAAAAGGCCCAGGGAACGAGAGAGCAGGAGCCGGCAAAGAUUUACCAAGAUUUGGAAACGUCAGCUAGAAGCGAUCUCAUUGUGUGGGGUGGAAAAUGAACCCCUCCUCCCCAAGAGGAAGGGACUUAAUCAAUGACACCAGAAUUAGUGGCAGAGAAAGGAAGGACAAAACACAGGAUUCCUGACUUGAAGGCCAGAGGAAAUAAUGCCUGGAUGGAGCAGAAACUAAAGAAGGACCUGGUGGAACUAAG
rnacentral:lncRNA from 1 species